CAUUUGAAAACUUGUUAGUAUUUAUGUUUGAAUCUAUACAAUUAAGUUAAAUUGUAAAACGUAUCUGAAAUCGCGAAGUGUAAAUUUGAUAAACAGGAUGUGUCUUUGUGAAAGCUGUGAGUGUAUGGAUAACCUCUGUUGUUCGCUAAAGGCAAAAGCCUUGUUUUUUUCAAUCUGGACAAUUGUAAAUGGCAUAUUGGCAAUAAUCGUUUGUCUUUUUAUUAGAACUGAUUUUUGGACUAUCCUUUUUUGUUACUUUUUAGUAGGCAUGCAUAUAUUGGCCGGUAUUAUCUUGUUGCUGGGCGUUCUUAGAAGCUGGGCAUUAAUAUUUCUUGCUGGCAUCAUCUUAAGCUCAUUUCUACCAUAUGUAUUUUUAUUUUUACCUUAUCUAGCAGUUGUUCAAGUUAUCUUUACAAUAACCUCAUGCAGAUAUUACAGUCUUGAAUUAAAAUAGAUAUGGGUAGAGUCAGUGUAUUGAAUGAUUGUCGUGUAAAUAAAUUUUUGGUUAAUAAAUACUUUCGGCUUCAGUGACAAAAUAAAA